CAUCCUUUAACUAAAAGCAACAAACUCCAUCCAGGGGGGGGGGGGUGUGUGAUUCCAAACGUGCUUGGAUUUGCAAGAGCAGCUAUAGAGCUAACUAACAAAUCUGCAUCUGAUUCAUUAUCGUAGCAGGCAGACAAAACUAAAGUUAGUACAGUUACAACCCCUUGUUUGUUUCAAUCACAUAAGGAAAGCUUAACAAAAACAUGUCCAACUCCCUUUAAAACUAUAUCACGGAUUUCACUAAUUAGUCUACUAUGUUAAAUUACAAAACAAUAAAAUGGGAGCAGGUUUUUACCCUCACAUGGACCCUUAUAGGUUAUUCUAAACAUGCUGGACCUUUCACAGUCUAUCCUACAACUUGAAAGAAAACUUUAAACUUAAACAAUGGGAAGAGAAGAAGUCACAAAUGAUUAAUCUACCCAUAUAACAAGAAUCACACUAAUUUUCAAACAAGGGUUUGAAUCAGAUUCAUAUUAGCUUACCAAUACUCACUUGAAGUCCAUUCCUUGAACAAUCAUUCCAUUUCAUAAAAAGAAAACCAUUGCACGAGAAAUGAACUGGAAAGAGUACCUUGAAAGAGUAACAACAAAGAAACAACAGCCAAAGUAAUAUGAAAAAAACCAGCAACAAUGACUCAACACAGCAGUAGGGAUCAGUGAUGAAAAACCCAGCAAAACAGCUUUAAACCAGCCAAAUUUCAGCUUAGAAGCCCAAAAAAACCAUGUAAGCCUUUUAAAAUUCAUAAAGAAGACCCAGAAAACCAACCAAGUAAUGUAAAAAAACCUUUUUCUCUGAAAUUCUGAUGUGUUUUUAGUAUUUUUGGUGCAGAGAAUGAUGCC
rnacentral:lncRNA from 1 species